CAGUGUCUCUUAAAAUGACUAGGUGCCCUCUGCAUGCCUUCAAGCGUGGGGUGGAUUAUACUUGCAGUCCAUCAAGAUUUGUAUGGCAAACUUAUGGUACUCAUUCUGGAAGGGGCUGCUCCCUUUCUCCUCUCCAUGGAUUCCUGAGGACAUUUCUCCUAUUACUCAGCAUCCUGCCCAACAGUACAAUCAAAAGAAGACAAUUUUCAUUUACCUAAAUCUUUCAGAUUGCCGGAGGUGAAUUGAGGUUUGAAGUGGGGUUUAUUAAUAGAAGAGGUAUCUAUAAAGCCCCUUUGAACAGCAUUGGCAAGAGGACCCUAUUGCCAGCUGUGCUUUCCUCACUGCUGGAAAUAAAGGCUAGAGAGAAGAGUGGAGCAGUGUCAGCUGGCUUUUAGAACUACCAGAUGUUUGAAAUCAACUCAUAGAAUACCACUGAUCAGCUAGCCAUUGCUCAGAAAACCUGAGGAAACACUACAGAUUUAGGAAGGAUACUAAACGCUAGGAAUGCUUAUUUUAACUUGGAUUCUUUAGAAGUUGAGUCAGUGCCUCAACUACUCUUGUUUCUUUCUUACAUGUGUCAAUGACCACCAGGACACAGAACUAAAGAAUACCAAAUAGCUCCAAUUCUUAAAGAGAGAGUC